GAAGGUCUGAUGCCUGAUACAGACUUAACGUGAACCUCUCGGGGGACGAUAACGGCGUCGAGCGGCGGACGGGUGAGUAAUGCCUAGGAAAUUGCCCUGAUGUGGGGGAUAACCAUUGGAAACGAUGGCUAAUACCGCAUGAUGCCUACGGGCCAAAGAGGGGGACCUUCGGGCCUCUCGCGUCAGGAUAUGCCUAGGUGGGAUUAGCUAGUUGGUGAGGUAAGGGCUCACCAAGGCGACGAUCCCUAGCUGGUCUGAGAGGAUGAUCAGCCACACUGGAACUGAGACACGGUCCAGACUCCUACGGGAGGCAGCAGUGGGGAAUAUUGCACAAUGGGCGCAAGCCUGAUGCAGCCAUGCCGCGUGUAUGAAGAAGGCCUUCGGGUUGUAAAGUACUUUCAGUCGUGAGGAAGGCGUUGUUGUUAAUAGCUGCAUCGUUUGACGUUAGCGACAGAAGAAGCACCGGCUAACUCCGUGCCAGCAGCCGCGGUAAUACGGAGGGUGCGAGCGUUAAUCGGAAUUACUGGGCGUAAAGCGCAUGCAGGUGGUUUGUUAAGUCAGAUGUGAAAGCCCGGGGCUCAACCUCGGAAUAGCAUUUGAAACUGGCAGACUAGAGUACUGUAGAGGGGGGUAGAAUUUCACGUGUAGCGGUGAAAUGCGUAGAGAUCUGAAGGAAUACCGGUGGCGAAGGCGGCCCCCUGGACAGAUACUGACACUCAGAUGCGAAAGCGUGGGGAGCAAACAGGAUUAGAUACCCUGUUAGUCCACGCCGUAAACGAUGUCUACUUGGAGGUUGUGCCUUGAGCCGUGCUUUCGAGCUAACGCGUUAAGUAGACCGCUGGGGAGUACGUCGCAGAUUAAACUCAAAUGAUUGACGGGGCCGCACAGCGGUGGAGCAUGUGUUAAUUCGAUGCACGCGAGACUACAACUCUGACUCAAAAACUUCAGAA
rnacentral:rRNA from 1 species